rnacentral:lncRNA from 1 species
AUUUUCACCAACCUUUGGUCAUGUCAAUAUUUUUAAUUUUAUCUGUUUGACUGGGUGUGUAGUUGUGGCAUUGUGAUUUAAUUUGCAUAUUUUUGGUGGCUAGGCUAAAGAUAUUGAGCAAUUUGCCUUUGAUUCUUGUCGCUGCUCUGAACCGUAUGUGUCCACAGUCAAACGGGAAUGCAGAUCCAGCCCUUCAACAAUCUCAACAGAGACCCUUCCUAACACAGCCCGUGUGUCACUGUCAUCUCCAGAGGGUCAUCAGGAAGGCUGCCUUACAUAUUACUACCUCCUCAUGCCAUGUGACCUUGGAGAAGUCUUGGACUUCAUCUCUUCUGCUUGUAAGAUGGGGA